GUCUCAGUUCGGAUUGAGUCUGCAACCCGACUCCAUGAAGCUGGAUUCGCUAGUAAUCGCGCAUCAGCCACGGCGCGGUGAAUACGUUCCCGGGCCUUGUACACACCGCCCGUCAAGCCAUGGAAGCCGGGGGUGCCUGAAGUGCGCUGCCGCAAGGAGCGUCCUAGGGUAAAACCGGUGACUGGGGCUAAGUCGUAACAAGGUAAC
rnacentral:rRNA from 1 species